UCUGUAGGCGGUGCGGCAAGUCGGAAGUGAAAUCUCAGGGCUCAACUCUGAGUCUGCUUUCGAAACUGCCGUGCUGGAGUGCGGGAGAGGUGAGUGGAAUUGCAGGUGUAGCGGUGAAAUGCGUAGAUAUCUGCAGGAACACCAGAGGCGAAGGCGGCUCACUGGACCGCAACUGACGCUGAGAGACGAAAGCUAGGGGGAGCAAACAGGAUUAGAUACCCUGGUAGUCCUAGCCCUAAACCAUCAGGACUUGGCGUGGGUCCCGUUCGGGGCCCGUGUCGGAGCUAACGUGUGAAGUCCUGCGCCUGGGGAGUACGGCCGCAAGGCUGAA
rnacentral:rRNA from 1 species